rnacentral:rRNA from 1 species
CGCGCGCGGCAUGGUCGUGUCUCCUUGAGCACCAAAGGCGCAGAAAACAUAACUUGCCUUGUUCUGCGGGAUUACGGGCGCGGCUCUCUGCUCGUCCCUCCAUCCCCGGGUGUUGUACCCGGCAUGCGGGGCCGUUCCGGGGUGGUGCGUUCAUCGUGCCACACCGCCGGCACCGUGCCACAACAUACCGCGAGUGCGCAGGAUGUGACCCGAAAGAUGGUGAACUAUGCCUGAUCAGGUUGAAGUCAGGGGAAACCCUGAUGGAGGACCGAAGCAGUUCUGACGUGCAAAUCGAUUGUCAGAAUUGGGCAUAGGGGCGAAAGACCAAUCGAACCAUCUAGUAGCUGUUUCCCUUCCGAAA